rnacentral:rRNA from 1 species
AGCUCCAAUAGCGUAUAUUAAAGUUGUUGCAGUUAAAAAGCUCGUAGUUGGAUUUGUGGUUGUCCCUGUGGCCCCUACUUUUGGGUGCUGCAGGGUCGUCCAUCCUUGAGUGGAACCUGUAUGGCAUUAAGUUGUCGUGCAGGGGAUGCUCAUCGUGUACUGUGAAAAAAUUAGAGUGUUCAAAGCAGGCUUAUGCCGUUGAAUAUAUUAGCAUGGAAUAAUGAGAUAGGACCUUGGUACUAUUUUGUUGGUUUGCGCACCGAGGUAAUGAUUAAUAGGGACAGUUGGGGGUAUUCGUAUUCCAUUGUCAGAGGUGAAAUUCUUGGAUUUCUGGAAGACGAACUACUGCGAAAGCAUUUACCAAGGAUGUUUUCA